rnacentral:rRNA from 1 species
CCUACGGGGGGCAGCAGUAGGGAAUCUUUCACAAUGGGCGAAAGCCUGAUGGAGCAACGCCGCGUGCAGGAUGAAGGCCUUCGGGUUGUAAACUGCUUUUAUAAGCGAGAAAUAUGAUGGUAACUUAUGAAUAAGGAUCGGCUAACUACGUGCCAGCAGCCGCGGUCAUACGUAGGAUCCGAGCAUUAUCCGGAGUGACUGGGUGUAAAGAGUUGCGUAGGUGGCAUAAUAAGUAGCUAGUGAAAUCUGGUGGCUCCACCAUUCAGACUAUUAGCUAAACUGUUAAGCUCGAGACCGUUAGGGGUAACUGGAAGUUCUGGUGUAGGAGUGAAAUCCGUAGAUAUUAGAAGGAACACCAAUAGCGUAGGCAGGUUGCUGGGACGGUUCUGACACUAAGGCACGAAAGCGUAGGGAGCAAACGGGAUUAGAUACCCUUGUAGUC